rnacentral:rRNA from 1 species
CGCGGCCUAUCAGCUUGUUGGUGAGGUAACGGCUCACCAAGGCAUCGACGGGUAGCUGGUCUGAGAGGACGAUCAGCCACACUGGGACUGAGACACGGCCCAGACUCCUACGGGAGGCAGCAGUAGGGAAUCUUGCGCAAUGGGCGAAAGCCUGACGCAGCAACGCCGCGUGGGGGAUGAAUGCCUUCGGGUUGUAAACCCCUUUCAGCAGGGACGAAAAUGACGGUACCUGCAGAAGAAGCUCCGGCCAACUACGUGCCAGCAGCCGCAGUAAUACGUAGGGAGCGAGCGUUGUCCGGAAUUAUUGGGCGUAAAGAGCUCGUAGGCGGUUUGUCACGUCUGCUGUGAAAAUCCAAGGCUCAACCUUGGACUUGCAGUGGGUACGGGCAGGCUAGAGUGCGGUAGGGGAGAUAGGAAUUCCUGGUGUAGCGGUGGAAUGCGCAGAUAUCAGGAGGAACACCAAUGGCGAAGGCACAUCUCUGGGCCGUAACUGACGCUGAGGAGCGAAAGCGUGGGGAGCGAACAGGAUUAGAUACCCUGGUAGUCCAUGCCGUAAACGUUGGGCACUAGGUAUGGGAUCAUAUCAACGGAUUCCGUGCCGUAGCUAACGCAUUAAGUGCCCCGCCUGGGGAGUACGG